AUGGUAGAAGCAGAUCGUCCAGGCAAGCUUUUCAUUGGUAGCAUCAAUAGAGAAGCCAAUGAAAAGAUGCUUAAAGAAGUAUUUGCAAAACAUGGUCCCCUAUCAGAAGUUCUUUUGAUAAAAGGGUUGAACCAGGAAGUCCAGAGACUUUGUGUUUAAUAUUUUUGAGAACCUGCAGAUGCUAAGAAUGCUGCCAAAUACAUGACUGGAAAGGAAAGAUCUUUGGAUGGAAAAGCAAUAAAAGUAGAACAAGCCAAGAAAUCAUCUUUCAAAGUGGUGGUUGGCAGAGACCACUAGCUUCUUCAAGAAACAGAAGCCCUUCAGGAAGUUUGAGAACUGCAAGAGGAAGUAGUGGAGGAUCAAGAGAGUGGCUUCCCUCACAUGAUGGAUGCUUGGAUGAUGGCGGAUACACUCUUGAAGAACAUGAGUUCUUCUAGGGGGCUUUCCAAUUGAAAGAGGUUCAUCUUCAAGAAGUGGAGGUCCUCCUCCUAAAAAAUCUACUCCUUCUGCUGUGGCAAGAACCAAUAGUUGGAUGGGAGGCCAAGGUCCCAUGUCACGUGGAAGAGAGAAUUAUGGAGGUCCUCUAUGCAGAGAGCCAACCUCUUCCUGGAGAAAUGACUAUAUGUCACCAAGAGAUGAUGAUUAUGCAACUAAGGAGAGAAAUCACCCUUUGUCAGAUGAAAAAUUGGAUUACGCUGCACCAUCUAGAGACCAUGCAUACUGUGAUUAUGGUCAUUCUAGUCGGGAUGAACAUUUCUCUGGAGGAUGCCCGGUGGUAGAGAUUAUUCUGAAGAUCCAAGUGGAAUUUCUUACAGAGAAGCAUUUCAGGGAUAUUGGAACUUUCAUGGUGCACCACCUGCACAAGGGCCCUGGUUGUCUCAUGGUGGAAGCAACCAACAUGAUUAUAACAAUACACAAGAUAGAUAUGGCAGAAGUCAGGAGAGUUACUCAACGAGCUGUGGUGAUUUUUAUUCCUGUGGUCAUGAGCACAUUGACAAUGGUUGUUGCAAGUAAUGGUUUAGUAAUAAGUUUUUGCAAAUAG